rnacentral:rRNA from 1 species
UACGUAGGUGGCGAGCGUUGUCCGGAAUUACUGGGGGUAAAGCGCGCGUAGGCGGGAGGCCAAGUCCGCUGUGAAAUCGCCCGGCUCAACUGGGCGCGGUCGGUGGAAACUGGUCACCUGGAGGACGGUAGAGGCGAGUGGAAUUCCCGGUGUAGUGGUGAAAUGCGUAGAGAUCGGGAGGAACACCAGUGGCGAAGGCGGCUCGCUGGGCCGGCCCUGACGCUGAGGCGCGAAGGCGUGGGGAGCGAACGGG